rnacentral:rRNA from 1 species
AACGUAGGAGACAAACGUUAUCCGGAGUUACUGGGCGUAAAGGGCGUGUAGGUGGUUUCGUAAGUCUGGCGUGAAAUUUCUCGGCUUAACCGAGGCAGGUCGUCGGAUACUGCGGAACUUGAGGACGGUAGAGGCGUGUGGAAUUCCGGGUGUAGUGGUGAAAUGCGUAGAGAUCCGGAGGAACACCAGUGGCGAAGGCGACUACCUGGCCUGUUCUUGACGCUGAGGCGCGAAAAGCUAGGGGAGCAAAC